rnacentral:lncRNA from 1 species
GUCGUCGUCCGAAGACAGUUGGUAUCCGGACAAUUACCUUAGUAUAAGAUAAUAGAAAUCCAUGAAAUAUACACAAGGUGUAUUCAACGCAGGUUGGGAUUUAUUUUGUUUGGGGUAUUGGUUUAACAGUUUAGGAAUUAGGGGCCAAAAAGGUGCCCAAAUAAGCAUUUUAGUAGUUUCAAGACAAUAACUUGUGUUUAAGUGUAUAAAUCUCUCUGAAAUUAUACCACAAGUUUCCAUACCACAAAGGGAUAGUUAGGAUUGACUUUGGAGUUUAAGGCACACAUUUAGAAAUUGGGGCAAAACAAAUGGGGAACAACAAGGGUAAACUUUCCUGACUAAUGGAC